rnacentral:rRNA from 1 species
CAAAAACAUGUCUUUUUGAAUAUAAUUUAAAGUCUAGCCUGCCCAAUGAAUUAAUUUAAAUGGCCGCGGUAUACUGACCGUGCAAAGGUAGCAUAAUCAUUAGUUUUUUAAUUGAAAGCUGGAAUGAAAGGUUGGAUGAGAAAAUAACUGUCUCUAUUUAAAUUAAUUAGAAUUUUAUCUUUAAGUUAAAAAGCUUAAAUAAUAAUAAAAGACGAGAAGACCCUAUAGAGUUUUAUAUUAUUAAGAAUUUAAAUUUUUAGUAUUUUAUGCCUUAAAUUUUUAUAUAUAUUUGGUUGGGGUGAUUGAAAAAUUAAAAAAACUUUUUUUUGAAUUAUUACAUUGAUUUAUGAAUUUUUGAUCCUUUUUUUAAGAUUAUAAGAUUAAAUUACCUUAGGGAUAACAGCGUAAUUUUUUUUAAAAGUUCUAAUCGAAAAAAGAGAUUGCGACCUCGAUGUUG